rnacentral:rRNA from 1 species
GACGUAGGGGGCCAGCGUUGUUCGGAAUUACUGGGUGUAAAGGGUUCGUAGGCGGUGUGGCAAGUCGGGAGUGAAAUCUCUGGGCUCAACCCAGAGUCUGCUUCCGAAACUGCUGUGCUUGAGUGUGGGAGAGGCGCGUGGAAUUGCAGGUGUAGCGGUGAAAUGCGUAGAGAUCGGGAGGAACACCAGCGGCGAAGGCGGCGACCUGGACGAGUACUGACACUCAACUACGAAAGCGUGGGGAGCAAACAGG